CUAUGGAGAAAAGAACAUAUUAAAACU
rnacentral:piRNA from 1 species